rnacentral:rRNA from 1 species
GAUGAACGCUGGCGGCGUGCCUAAUACAUGCAAGUCGAGCGAACAGAUGAGGAGCUUGCUCCUCUGACGUUAGCGGCGGACGGGUGAGUAACACGUGGAUAACCUACCUAUAAGACUGGGAUAACUUCGGGAAACCGGAGCUAAUACCGGAUAAUAUAUUGAACCGCAUGGUUCAAUAGUGAAAGACGGUUUUGCUGUCACUUAUAGAUGGAUCCGCGCCGCAUUAGCUAGUUGGUAAGGUAACGGCUUACCAAGGCGACGAUGCGUAGCCGACCUGAGAGGGUGAUCGGCCCCACUGGAACUGAGACACGGUCCAGACUCCUACGGGAGGCAGCAGUAGGGAAUCUUCCGCAAUGGGCGAAAGCCUGACGGAGCAACGCCGCGUGAGUGAUGAAGGUCUUCGGAUCGUAAAACUCUGUUAUUAGGGAAGAACAAAUGUGUAAGUAACUAUGCACGUCUUGACGGUACCUAAUCAGAAAGCCACGGCUAACUACGU